CCUACGGGUGGCAGCAGUGGGGAAUAUUGGGCAAUGGGCGCAAGCCUGACCCAGCAACGCCGCGUGAAGGAAGAAGGCUUUCGGGUUGUAAACUUCUUUUCUCAGGGACGAAGCAAGUGACGGUACCUGAGGAAUCAGCCACGGCUAACUACGUGCCAGCAGCCGCGGUAAUACGUAGGUGGCAAGCGUUAUCCGGAUUUACUGGGUGUAAAGGGCGUGUUGGCGGGACUGUAAGUCAGAUGUGAAAACCACGGGCUUAACCUUUGGCCUGCAUUUGAAACUGUAGUUCUUGAGUACUGGAGAGGCAGACGGAAUGCCUAGUGUAGCGGUGAAAUGCGUAGAUAUUGGGGGGAACACCAGUGGCGAAGGCGGUCUGCUGGACAGCAACUGACGCUGAGGCGCGAAAGCGUGGGGAGCAAACAGGAGUAGAGACCCCUGUAGUC
rnacentral:rRNA from 1 species